rnacentral:lncRNA from 1 species
GGUAACUCUCUUCAUCACAAGAUCAUUGGAACUUUACCAAUAAUUUCUUAACAAAUCUAAAACCUUUUCUCAGUCCCUCAUCUUUAAUGACCUUUGCAGCAUCUGAUUUGUUGGUAACACUGUUCUCUUUGAUGUUCUCAUUUCUAGGUUUUGGUGAUAUACUACUACCUCCUAAAUUACUUCCCAGUCUCUUUUAUUGGAUGAUUUUAUCUAAUUCUUGCUCUCUAAUCAUGAGUGUACUUUUCUCUUUCUAUAUUAUUUCACUUAGUGAUCUCAUUAGCUGCCAUGGAUUCAACAGUCAUCUCUGUGCAGAUGAUUUUUGCAUCUUUUAUCUACUUCCUGGCUUAUAUCUUCAAAUAUUUGUUGAGCAUGUUGAAAUGAAUUUCCAUAGAUGUUUUAAAUGUUUAAAACUGAACUUAUUUCCAUCCCUAAACUCUUCUUCCUACCUUCCCUUUUAGUUGAGCUAGUUUCACCUUUCUUACUCAUCCAGGCUCCUAACUUCUCUCUUCCAAUCAGUUGCCAAGCCCUCUCAGUGCUACCUUUACAGGCCCUCUCUGACACUGCCACCACCUUAAUUCAGGCCCUCGCUACCUCAAACCUGAACAACUAAAGUCAUCUUUUGGUUCACCUGCCUGCUUCAAUCUCUUUUCCUCUAAUCCAUUCUUUACUUAGCUGCCAUGUUGUUCUUUCCAAACUGACCAUGUUCCUCCCUAUAUUCAGUCAACUCCAGUGACUCUUACUACCUUAAGGUUCAAAUAUAAAAUCCUAUUUUUAACUUUUAAAGACCAUUAUAAUCUGGCUCUUUUCAACAUUUCCAGUCUUAUUUUACCUUACUCCCUUCCAUGUACUCUUAAGAUCUAGUGAUGUUCAUCUCCUUGCUGUUCUUUACAUAUGAUUGUCCCAUCUCCCAGUUCCAUGUUUUCUAACCUCCCCUGCCAGGAAUUCUCUUCCUCCUCACCUAUACCUCCUAGUGUUCUUCCAAGAAGCAUUUCCCCAUCCUCUUAAUUCUUGUGCCUUCUUAUUGUAAUCAUUUAUCACAUAUAUCACAUAUACAUAUAUAUGUAUAAACACAUGUAUAACAUGUCAUAUCUCAUAUAACAUAGUUAUCAUUAAAACAGUUAUUUUCAUGACUCCUUGAAAGCAGGGGCUACCUCUUUCUAUAUAUCCUCAACACAGUUCCUGGCACCUAGAAGGUGCUUAAUGUUUCUUAAUUUGAGUUAGGGUGGAGAGUUGACAGUUGAAAGAUAGAAUGGACAAAGCUUGGUAACUGAUUUUGUAUGAGAGAAAUUUGAGAAAAUGAGAAAAGAUGCUCUGAAGCUUUGGCACUAUAUGAUUGGAAGAAUGUUGUUCAUCUUAAGAGAGAAAAAUUUGGAGAGUGGAUUGGCAUAUGGAACAGGAAAAAUAAGAUCCAAUAUGGAACUUCGGGGUUUUGAUAGUCUCUGGGACAUUCAAGUGGAGAUGUUUACUGGUCAUUUGGUGAUGUGAUCCUGGAGCUUGGUAAAGAUUAGGGUUGGUAACGAGCUUGGUAAAGAUUUGAGGGUCAUCUGUAGAGCUAAUGAAGCAGCUUUGAUGGCACAAUGGAUAGAAUGGAGUCAGAAAGAGCCAAGUGUAAACCCAAUCUUAGACACUUAGUAGUUUUGUGACAAGUAGCAAGUCACUUAAUCUCUGAACCUCAGUUUCUUCAUUUGCAAAAUGGGGGUAAAAUGAAUUAAUUAUUUAUAAAGCAUUUUGUUAACCUAAAGCACUAUAUAAAUACUAUUUGUAAUUAAAAACUGCUAAGAUCAUUAAAAGUUGAUGAUAGUGGCAACUGAGAAAAGAUCAGAAAAAAUUUAGCAAUUAAAGAGAUUGUUGGUAAGCUUGAAGAAAGCAGUUUCUGCUGAAUAGUGGGGUCAGAGCCCAGAUUGUUAGAGCUUGAAGGAUGCAAGUCUUUUUCUAGAUAUUUUCCUGUGAAAAGGAGGAGAGCUUAUGGGGAUGGUUGGGUCAGAGAAAAUUGUUUUGAAAGGAGGAGAAAGGCUUUCAUAGAAGAAAGUAGUAUAUUUAAAGAAAGAUUUAGAGAGUGGGCCAAAAUCCGAUUUUCUGUCUUUCUUCAUAUAUAUCUCCUUGUAUUUCCCCGAUUCUCACCUUGUAUCAAAGGUGCUGUCACAGUUCUUUAGGUAUCACUUUUCUUGCCUUAGAAUAUGAAGCCAAACUAAAAGAAAUAUUUUAAGAUAAAUUUAACUUUAAAAGAUAUUCAGUUUAUCAUGCAAGCUGAAGACCUUUAGAGUCAGCCCACAUUGCUACAAAAUUAAGGUAAUAGAGGACACAAUUGAAGGCAAGCUACUUUUUAUAAUUCCAUGAGGUGCCUGUAACUAGAGGUAAUCCAGUCAUUAGCUAAGUUUGUAGCUAAGCUCAAAAAAGCUUUUACUAGGCUAAAUGAUGGAAGGAAGAUGUUAAUCAAAUUUUGGUUUAAUUAAGGAGUGAGCAACCUCAUUUUUUCCUGUCUUAGAAUUCCCUUCUUGAUGAACGCGAUACUCUCUGACUAGGAUGGCACAGUUGGCUUAAUUCUUUCAAGUCAUAGUGCCAGUAAGAAAACUUAUUACAGAUAAAAGAGAGGAAGGAUUCCUGUAGUCGAGUUCUAUCCAAACCUUCCUAGCAAAUGGCAUUUUUCUUUAAAAGUUUUUUCCCAAUUAAAUAUCUCUCUACUUCUUGGGGGAUCACCAUGGU